rnacentral:rRNA from 1 species
AUACAGAGGGUGCGAGCGUUAAUCGGAAUUACUGGGCGUAAAGCGCGCGUAGGCGGCUACUUAAGUCAGAUGUGAAAUCCCCGGGCUCAACCUGGGAACUGCAUCUGAUACUGGGUAGCUAGAGUUGAGGAGAGGGAAGUAGAAUUUCAGGUGUAGCGGUGAAAUGCAUAGAGAUCUGAAGGAAUACCAGUGGCGAAGGCGGCUUCCUGGCCUAAAACUGACGCUGAGGUGCGAAAGCGUGGGUAGCAAACGGAAUUAGAAACCCCAGUAGUCC